UGAGGAAUUUUCCACAAUGGGCGAAAGCCUGAUGGAGCGACGCUGCGUGCGGGAUGACAGCCUUCGGGUUGUAAACCGCUUUUCCCAGGGACGAUAAUGACGGUACCUGGGGAAUAAGCAACGGCCAACUACGUGCCAGCAGCCGCGGUAAUACGUAGGUUGCGAGCGUUAUCCGGAUUUACUGGGCGUAAAGCGUCUGUAGGUGGCGAUAUGCGUUGGAUGCCAAAUCUUUUCGCUUAACGAAAAGUCCGCGUCCAAUACGGUAUUGCUAGAGGAAAUCAGAGGUUGACGGAAUUCCCGGUGUAGCAGUGAAAUGCGUUGAUAUCGGGAAGAACGCCGAUGGCGAAGGCUGUCAACUGGGGUUUUUCUGACACUGAGAGACGAAAGCGUGGGGAGAGAACAGG
rnacentral:rRNA from 1 species